rnacentral:rRNA from 1 species
CUACGGGAGGCAGCAGUGGGGAAUAUUGCACAAUGGGCGAAAGCCUGAUGCAGCGACGCCGCGUGAGGGAUGAAGGCCUUCGGGUUGUAAACCUCUUUCAGCAGGGACGAAGCGCAAGUGACGGUACCUGCAGAAGAAGCACCGGCUAACUACGUGCCAGCAGCCGCGGUAAUACGUAGGGUGCGAGCGUUGUCCGGAAUUACUGGGCGUAAAGAGUUCGUAGGCGGUUUGUCGCGUCGUUUGUGAAAACCCGGGGCUCAACUUCGGGCUUGCAGGCGAUACGGGCAGACUUGAGUGUUUCAGGGGAGACUGGAAUUCCUGGUGUAGCGGUGAAAUGCGCAGAUAUCAGGAGGAACACCGGUGGCGAAGGCGGGUCUCUGGGAAACAACUGACGCUGAGGAACGAAAGCGUGGGUAGCAAACAGGAUUAGAUACCCUGGUAGUCCACGCCGUAAACGGUGGGCGCUAGGUGUGGGUUCCUUCCACGGAAUCUGUGCCGUAGCUAACGCAUAAGCGCCCCGCC